rnacentral:misc_RNA from 1 species
UACGUAGGAUGCAAGCGUUGUUCGGAAUUACUGGGCGUAAAGAGUACGUAGGCGGUUUGAUAAGUCUGAUAUUAAAGACUGGGGCUCAACUUCAGGAGUGUAUCGGAAACUAUCAGACUAGAGGACAAUAGAGGAAGUCGGAAUUCUCAGUGUAGCGGUGAAAUGCGUAGAUAUUGGGAAGAACACCAGUGGCGAAAGCGGACUUCUGGGUUGUUACUGACGCUGAGGUACGAAAGCGUGGGGAGCAAACGGG